rnacentral:rRNA from 1 species
AUGCAUGUCUAAGUACAAGCCGAAUUAAGGCGAAACCGCGAAUGGCUCAUUAAAUCAGCUAUGAUUCAUUGGAUCUGUACUCCCACUUACUUGGAUAACUGUGGUAAUUCUAGAGCUAAUACAUGCACCACGUCUCUGACCGCAAGGGAAGAGCGCUUUUAUUAGUUCAAAACCGGUCGGGCCUCGGUCCGUCACCCCAAUGUGUUGAAUCUGAAUAACUUUGUGCUGAGCGCACGGUCUCCGCACCGGCGCCGCAUCUUUCAAGUGUCUGCCUUAUCAGCUUUCGAUUGUAGGCUAUACGCCUACAAUGGCUAUAACGGGUAACGGGGAAUCAGGGUUCGAUUCCGGAGAGGGAGCCUGAGAAACGGCUACCACA